GGACGCAUAGCUCUGUCAGUAGAGCGUUAGGCUCUUAACCUAACUGUCCAGGGUUCGAGUCCCUGUUCCUGGUAUUCU